CCUACGGGGGGCAGCAGUCGAGAAUCAUUCACAAUGGGGGAAACCCUGAUGGUGCGACGCCGCGUGGGGGAAUGAAGGUCUUCGGAUUGUAAACCCCUGUCAUGUGGGAGCAAAUUAAAAAGAUAGUACCACAAGAGGAAGAGACGGCUAACUCUGUGCCAGCAGCCGCGGUAAUACAGAGGUCUCAAGCGUUGUUCGGAAUCACUGGGCGUAAAGCGUGCGUAGGCUGUUUCGUAAGUCGUGUGUGAAAGGCGCGGGCUCAACCCGCGGACGGCACAUGAUACUGCGAGACUAGAGUAAGGGAGGGGGAACCGGAAUUCUCGGGGUAGCAGUGAAAUGCGUAGAUAUCGAGAGGAACACUCGUGGCGAAGGCGGGUUCCUGGACAUUAACUGACGCUGAGGCACGAAGGCCAGGGGAGCGAAAGGGAUUAGAUACCCUAGUAGUC
rnacentral:rRNA from 1 species